rnacentral:rRNA from 1 species
ACGGCCGCAAGGUUAAAACUCAAAUGAAUUGACGGGGGCCCGCACAAGCGGUGGAGCAUGUGGUUUAAUUCGAUGCAACGCGAAGAACCUUACCUGGUCUUGACAUCCACAGAACUUUCCAGAGAUGGAUUGGUGCCUUCGGGAACUGUGAGACAGGUGCUGCAUGGCUGUCGUCAGCUCGUGUUGUGAAAUGUUGGGUUAAGUCCCGCAACGAGCGCAACCCUUAUCCUUUGUUGCCAGCGAUUAGGUCGGGAACUCAAAGGAGACUGCCAGUGAUAAACUGGAGGAAGGUGGGGAUGACGUCAAGUCAUCAUGGCCCUUACGACCAGGGCUACACACGUGCUACAAUGGCGCAUACAAAGAGAAGCGACCUCGCGAGAGCAAGCGGACCUCAUAAAGUGCGUCGUAGUCCGGAUUGGAGUCUGCAACUCGACUCCAUGAAGUCGGAAUCGCUAGUAAUCGUGGAUCAGAAUGCCACGGUGAAUACGUUCCCGGGCCUUGUACACACCGCCCGUCACACCAUGGG